rnacentral:rRNA from 1 species
GAGUUUGAUCCUGGCUCAGGACGAACGCUGGCGGCGUGCUUAACACAUGCAAGUCGAACGGAGCAUUUUGGAAUGAGGUUUCGGCCAAAGGAAGGAAUGCUUAGUGGCGGACUGGUGAGUAACGCGUGAGGAACCUGCCUUUCAGUGGGGGGACAACAGUUGGAAACGACUGCUAAUACCGCAUGACACAUUUGGGUGGCAUCACUUGAAUGUCAAAGAUUUAUCGCUGAAAGAUGGCCUCGCGUCUGAUUAGCUAGUUGGUGAGGUAAUGGCCCACCAAGGCGACGAUCAGUAGCCGGACUGAGAGGUUGACCGGCCACAUUGGGGACUGAGAUACGGCCCAGACUCCUACGGGAGGCAGCAGUGGGGAAUAUUGGGCAAUGGACGCAAGUCUGACCCAGCAACGCCGCGUGAAGGAAGAAGGCUUUCGGGUUGUAAACUUCUUUGACAGGGGAAGAGUAGAAGACGGUACCCUGAAAACAAGCCACGGCUAACUACGUGCCAGCCGCCGCAGUAAACCGA